rnacentral:rRNA from 1 species
GACGAACCGUGCGAACGUUGUUCGGAAUCACUGGGCUUAAAGGGCGCGUAGGCGGGCUGUCAAGUCUGGGGUGAAGUGCCGCGGCUCAACCGUGGAACUGCCUUAGAUACUGACGGCCUCGAGGAAGGUAGGGGCAUGCGGAACUGUAGGUGGAGCGGUGAAAUGCGUUGAUAUCUACAGGAACUCCGGUGGCGAAAGCGGCGUGCUGGACCUUUUCUGACGCUGAGGCGCGAAAGCUAGGGGAGCAAACGGG